UGCGUGAAAAAAUUCAGGUGACACAUAAUAAGAAGAUUCUGGUCAUCAACCAAAAAGACCCUUUGCCUGUGUCAAGAAUGGUUUGUGGGUCUGUCCCUGUCUUCAGGCCCUACCAUUUGCCUACAGAUUUCUCCCCCGAUUUGGGGGGCCCGGGAAGCCUGACUCGGCUGUGUGCUGAAGCUUGAUCCAAAAGCUUCCACAGUGUGGACCUGCCAUGUGGGGUGAGUGUGGCCGCCUGCACUCACUUGCCCCAGCGGGAAAUUCGCCUUCUGCUCAUGAUUUAAAAGUCUCCCAUUUUGCUGCUCUCCUCUCUGCGGUCUCCGUGCUUCUCCCAUCACACUACAGCCAGAAGUUGAGUUACAGGAAGAUUCGCCAGAGAUUUAUCGCCUGGCCCCAAACUUGGAGAGCCUCAUUGUCAUAAACAGCCGUCUAUUGUCUAGACUUUUAUCUCCGGGUAUGGAUCGUGCAUUACUGAGGCUCAGGAGACCCAGGCCUGGCUCUGUGGGGUGUGUGCCUGGCUCUGUGUGGUGUGUGCGAAGCUCAGUGCUUGCUCCCCCCACCUCCACCAGCCCCCAGGGGUUUCUGUAGGUAGGUUUAGGAGGGGACACAAAAGUGUGUGUGCUCUUGGAGCUGGGCAGGUACACCUGAGUGUCCAAGGAUGGGGGCUGGAAAUGGGGACGCGUCUUCUAUGCCUGGGAACAUUCUGGUGCAUGUACUUAUGUGUUGGGUGAGAAUUUGUCACGGUAUGCUUUGUUUCUGGGGCAUUUUAAGUGUUCCUGUCUGGGGCUUUUGCGGGUUUUAUUAACCUGCAUCCGCUUGGCUUGUUUAUGUUCCUUCGAAGUGGAUCAUCUGGUGUUUUUCAAUAUUGGGCCCAUUGUGUGUGUGUGUGUGUGUGUGUGUGUGUGUGUGUGCGCGCGUGCAUGCGUGCGCUCGCCCACGUGCAUGUCUUUGGCUUUUCUGAGAAAAUGGGUUUGGAUGAUACCUUUCCAGUGUCCUCAGAUUCCUUCACCCUCCCUAAAUCACACCUCAGCUUCUGCCUUCAGGACAGCAGCCUCUGGCCCUGCUCCACUCGCUGCAAGUCCCUAAAUCUCCCACGUGGCUACCAAUUUUCUGUCACAGACACAAAAACACAUUUUUUCAGGAUGAGGUCUGGCUAUCUCUGUCUCUCCCACACCAGGGGGAAAUGUCCCCGCUUGUAAACUCCCUCCAUUCCUGGGACUCCCCCUCCCAGAGCCAAGGGGGACCUCAGAAAGGGCUUCCCCAGUCCAUUCUGACCUUUAAAAAUAUUUUCCUCAGAACUCUAGAUAAUGCCAGAGAGGGCCUGCCACUCUCUCCCUGGGGCUUGGUGACAGCAAACAUCCUCAUCCUGGCCACAGUCUCAGCCCCUUGAGCCCAGGCAGUAGGACACUGGCCCAGCUUAAAUGUCCCUGGGAGAGACACUUAGCACCUUAGAUCUCGGGGUCAGAGGCUGUUUUGGAAAGCCAGGAUCCUUUAACACCAGCAGAAAUAAUCAAAUCCUCCCCCUUUGUUUUUCAUUAUCACAACACCGUGUGGGAGGGCUGCAGGCUGGAGGUCUGAGAGCUCCCUGACCACCCUCACUGCUCCUGGCGGCUGCUCCCACCUGGGCCCCAGGCCCCGCUUCAGAGCCCUGAGGCUUCCUCAGCCAGGCCCCAAAGACUCCAGUGUUUACAAGACCAGAAAUGCCACGGCCACGUCCCGGCAGAAAGAAAGGCUGAAAUGGAGGACCGACGCCUUCCUUAUAAGCUCACUGGGGCCUGAGCCAGUACCAACCUGGUAGAAAAAGCAACCAUGAAGCCAGAGAGAGAGCCAGAAGAGGGAGGAGAGCGAGCGCACCAGACCGAGAUGAAAAGGAACCACGCAGAGAAAUGCAAGGAAAAGAGGCGGCAGGUUCCUGAACGAAUGUGGCAAAGGGCAAGACAGGCACUUAUGGACAGAGGUCUAUGUAAUUGUAUUUACAAUUUUUUUUUUCUUUUUAGGGCUACACUCGCGGCAUAUGGAAGCUCCCAGGCUAUGCCGCAGCCAC